GAACACUUACAAUCAGACGGUUAGGGACUGUGAGUAACAGCAGAUCGUAGAGCGUCGACAAGACGCAAAGCCAAGAGGCAGCAGAAGUCAGCCAGUCAGCUAGCCAGCCAACAGCAGCUGGAGUAUGCGGUGGUCGCUGGUGUGCCGUACUGUGUGACGUGUUGAUUGAGUGCUCGGUUGGUGUAAGCGACGGCUGCUCAUAUAGUUUUUCGUCGUUCGUUGGCCUUUGGCCGUUAGUAGAUGGUGUACUGUUGAAUUCUGCCCGUUCUGUUCAGUUGGUUGGAUGGUCGGUUGCCAGCUUGACGCGCUGUGCAGUGGUGCUGUGUCGUGUUGUGCAUUCGAAGUGAAUAAGGUACUGAAACGAAUGCGCAUUACUUUGAAUUCUUUUGAAUUAGCGCAAAAUCAGUUGAAUUACAACAAAAACAAUAAGCAAGUAAUCGAUAAUAGAAAAUAAUGUUUUGAAAUAAUUUUAACAUUAAAUUUGCCUCGAUUUUCGAGUAGAUAAUGAGAUAAAUAUUUAUAAACAUUUGUUCGAAAGUUCGAAAACUGUGCGAUUUACACGAAUGCCGUACGAAAGUACGGCGAAGAAAAGUGCUUGUAAUGAUAAUUGCCGACUAAAUGCAAAAGUGCAAAAUAAAAAUGGAAAUAAAAACGCAUACAAUUAAUAAUUACAAAAAUGUUGGCGAACUACGCAGUUGCCCAAGCAGCUACGACGCGGCCGUGGAGCUUGGCGGAAUGCUCAGCUGUCUCUUGGCAAUGCCAGUGUCGUUGGAGAGGAAGACGGCGAUCAUGGCGUUCAUGGCGUUCAUGGUGAUUGUGUUGACAGUAAUAGAGCGCAGCUCAUGACAAAGAAAAGCCUGACUUCAGCCCAAAUGCCGUUCCAUGGAGCGUUUGCUCGGCUGCGCUACUACUGCCGAAAGAAGUGUCAGCGCGGCGGUUGUCAUUUCGUUAUGUGGGCUCACGAGCACUGUACGAUCUACCGAAUUGUUGGUCGCGCUCUACGAAUGCGCUCACACAUUUGGUUGGCGAAAAGGCGCUACCGAAAACCGAGCCGUUCGGAAUUUAACGAGGAGCGAGUAACGUCGCUAAUGCUUCAGUUCUUCUUCUAAUUGUUAUUAUUAUUAUUAUUAUUAGUGUUAUUGUUGUAGUUGUAGUUGCCGACAUCGCUAGCGUCGUCAGUAUCGUUGUCGUUGUCGUUGUCGUUGCCGUUGUGGUUGUCGACUAUAGCGGCGACUUUAUAGCGCCACUUGCGCCACUUGAACAACUAAUUUAGGACAAAAGCAACAACAACAACAGCAACUGAGCAGCAAUAACAAGAACAACAAUGAUGACAACAAUAUUCGUAACAACAAUAAAUGAGGCUAAGACAAUAAAGUGAAAAUGUGAACUUUGAAACAAAUGAUUUUUCUAAACUCUUUAAGAGACCCGACACACACACUUGCAUAUUAAAGAGUUGUCUCUGCGAGGUGAGGUGGAGGGGUCUGUGUCUACAAUAUUUGGACGAAUCUAGACACUAGUAUACAUAUGUACGUGUAUACUUAUACAGAUAUGUUAGUAUAAUACAGACAUUAAUGACAAUCGAAAACUGGGGCAAUGACGACAGUUUUUUAGUGUUUUAGAUGGUGCCGCAACACAAACAAAUCCAAGCAUUAGUGAGCAGGCCCACUUUCAUAACAUACCUAUAAAUACCGAGGUCUAACAGCGGAAAUCUAUUUUCCAGAUUCAGAGGUCGUCGAACGCACACUAUUAUUAUGAUGAUAUUCUGACGAUUAUAAUAAAACUAUGCUCAUUUGGGAAUGCAUUGGUUGGAAACACCCGAAGAUUUCCUGCUGGGACGGUGACGACAAUGCGUACAAAUUUAAAUAAAUUGUAAACAUGAUAAUGGAGAGUAGUAUAAAGAAGCUCAAAUGCGAUAGCAAGCUCAAACGCUAAACAAAAACAACAAUAAUAAACAAUCAGAGGAAAUUAAGCAAUCAACAGUAACAGAAAAUGUGUACUCGAACAAAGCAGAGCGAAAAGUCGACGACAAAUAUGGCGGUGGGGAGAGAGAGAGAGCGGAAGCAGAAACGCCAAAACGCCAAACGCCAACACCGCUUCGCUAAUGAAAUGGAAAUUGAAAAGCCCAAGCAACGACAGCAACAACAACAACAACAACAACAACAGCAACAAUGACAAUAACAACGACAGCAACCACUUCAACGAAAACACUUCCGCCACAAUAAGCACAAGCAAAUAAAACUAAAACAGACUUUGCACCAAUUUUCAAUGGCACGAGCGUCGAGAACAUUGAACUAUUUUCCACUUUUUUACGGCGUGUAUAUUUUUAUGGAAAGUGUUAAGCUACAAACAUACAUACAUACAUACAUAUAUCGACGCGUUCCGACUGCUACGCAAACAUACUUAUGCACACAUCCAAAGCGAACAGAAUACAUCCAUAUAGACGAUACGAUACAAACAUGCAGGCACGCACACAUUCUCACUCAGAAUCUCACUCGUCUGAAAAAACCUAAGCGCUUCUAAGCAAAUGAGUAGCGCUCAACGAACAGCGAACAGCGAACAACGGAAAGUAGUCCACAAUCAGAAAUCAGCGAGCAACAAACAGACAGUAACUAACUAGCAACAUUUCGUCUCCACAAAAGAAAAUAAUCGUAAUCAUAAUAAUGAACUACUGAGACGGUCUUUGUUAGACGGCGAACGCAAUGGCACUGGGAUGGUGUGGUGGUGUAGAACGGAGAACGCCCAAUGACUGAGCCCAGGGAGUGAGUGCAUUCUUAUCGGUAAACCGUGAUCUACACCGACUCGACACCAAUUCACAUGCACAUUGAACACACACACACACAGCGCGUACAAGCAGCAAUGACACCGUUUCACGAACGAAUUCGCCUCGUCGUCUAUUGCGUUUAUUGAAUGGGAUCAGCACACCAACAUAAACAGAGCACCCCAAAACGAAAAAAGGAACCGAAAAAACUGGAAAUUCUCAAAAUGAAAACAAACAUUGCAAGUAAGCACCGCUAAAUGCUGACUGCUGAUAAGCUGGAAGUACCCACACGCUGUUCCGUCACCGUCACCAGCGACAGCCAGAACAGUCUGGGUCAAUACUCGUGCGAGCGGCAAAUGCUCCUCCGGCCUGUUGAUUGCCCCAUCAUCGUCGAUUUUUUAUGACGUUGCUGUUGUUGUUGUUUUGUGAAUUUGCUGGUGCUGUGAUUAAUUGGGCUAAAUGGAAAUUACAACAAAAUUACAAGAAUAUCAAUCCUAAAAAUGUUUGAAGAAGUUAGAGUCCAUUGAAGCUGUUUGGAGGAGUUUAAGCUUCAUUUGAUGUGCUUGUUGGUCGGUCUCACUUGUUGCCAUUUAGUGGCUGGUUGUUGUUACUUUCCUACAGCGGCGCUAUCAUCGAUUGGUAAGCUUAACACAUACCAUACAAACAAAAAAUUGACUCACACACACACACAUAUGUACAAACACACGAACACAUAUAAAAAACGACACCUACCGUCACCCCAACGCGAGCGAACGCAGAUCUCUUUAAACCACUACAACAACAGCUGUGUGAAAGAAUGUGUUUGCAGGAAUGAAAAAGCGAAAAGAAAACACUCACUCUUACACAGACAAACCAAGAAGUAGAAGAAGAAGAAAAUUAAAUAAAAAUCUUAUACGAAUACCCGUACACACACACACACACACUUAUCACAUACGAACGCUGUGUGGUGGUUGUCUGAUGUGAGUAAGAAGCAUAGUGAAAGAGGCAACAACAGCGAUCAAUAUACAAACGUGUAUGUAAUAGAAAUGAAGAAAUGAAAUGUUUUCAUUAGACACUUUUUUAUUUUUAUUGGAUUGACACGAUCCGCAGUUGGAGCUGUGCUUCCGAACGUUGCGAGCGGUUUUCUUAGCUGGCUGCGACAGCCUGCCUGCCUCUUUUACAAAAACCAAAAACAAAAAAAAAAAAAAAACAAUACAAAAAUAAUAAAAAUAAAGAAUAGAAACCAAAUGAAUAACAAAGAAAUAAAAAUAAAAUUGGAAUCGUCAAAGAUCGUCAAAGUAUUUACGUUUUCUCAUACAAUUUGUGUGUGCUGAACUUUCUUUCUGCUGCUCGAAUCUUUCGAAUUUCGCGCAUAACAUCAAUGCUCCUUCUACAAAUGUCGAAUGUCGAAUGUGAACAAAGUGUUGUGCUAAGUGCUUGAUUAACAUAUGUACGAUUGUGAAUAGCAAUAUCGGUGAUACUUUUGUGCAGAUUUAUGAUUGAGGAUAUGGAAAUGUAUCUAUGUAUCUGACGAUUCGCAAAUACCUUUAUGUGUGUGCGGGAGAGUUGAAUAGAUAGCAUUGACGAUCAUCACAUAACCACACGCCGUCUGGAAGCGGCCCCACGUGCCGACGUCGGCGACUGACCUACUUAGCCAUUUUACUGAUGCGCAUUCGGCAGCAUAAGCUCACAUGUACGCACUUACAAACACACCCAUAUACACACACACACACACACACAGACAGCCACCUUCUUAUACGUGUGUGUGUGUUAAUGCGCACAUUUUUAUGAACUCGUUAGCGAAGGUACGAGUAUGUGCGUAAGUCAGCUUGUCAGCACAUUAAAUAAUAUUAACUUUCAAACUGUUCGAGCAUUUAUAUAACAACAAUUUGCGUUGUGGGAAAAAAGAGUUUUGUAGCUUUCCAAAAUGACUCAGCAGCAAUUAGGAUUGGAAUGUGUUGGUUCUUUCUUUUUUUUUGUUAAUUUCUUUUAAAUUCAGUAUCACGACUUCGUCUUAUGUGCGACUAAAUGACAGUGUCGAUCACAAUCUCGGCAAACAGCAGAGGAGAUAAAAAUAAAGAUUGUCACAUUAUUAUUAGUUGUGGUAUCGGCAACAUUUUUGGUUGAUGACAGUAAAAAAAAAAACGGUUGAAUGAGACAGGAUUUUUUUUUUUCAAAUUGUUACCCAAUUUAUUUUCAUUAAAGUUUAUUGAAAAUAUAUUUCUUAUCAAAGUAAGAUUGUCUUCAUGACAUCUUGAAAUACUUGCUAAGCCAUAGAAUGCUGCCACAUGUACAUUAAUUACAUGAAAAUAUUUGCAAUCCCAUCUAAGCGAAGAUACUGCCCGCACUCAGCCUCGCACAUGUAACUUAACCGUGCACAAGUCAUUUGCACUAAAACUAUUGCGGUUGACCAUUACACCGACCGACAUCGCGUCCAGCCAAGUCCCAUCAUUUCAUCCAACCACUUCUAAUACUCGUUGCUCGUACACUCACGUGCAUGGCCACACUUGAUGCAUGCAAAGCAACGAGCCAAGAGUCGGCAACAGCACGGGAUUCUUAUCGCUGUCCAGCGAUCGUUGUUGUAGUUGCUUUUGCCGCAUAUUUGCAGUUGAUUGCAAUUGCAGAAAUGGGACGCGUUCUGGAAUGUGGCAAAUCCAGUUUCUCACCUUCAAAGCCGCCUCAGCAAACCCGCAAAUUGUCUUCAGUCUUCUGCAGACUUCUCGCUGGUGUGUUGUGUUGCAACUUUGUUGCAUGCACCGUUUUUGCUGUUGGUAUGUUGCUAGACUUUUUUACCAAAAAAAAAUGUUGCAUUUAAUUUCAUGCUUUCUGCAUAUGUGUGCAUGUGGGCGUAUGUGUGUGUAUGAGUCUCGUGCACAACUCUCGGGAGCGAAGAAUGGACUUUGGUAGCAAAUAUCGGAACGCUAAAUUAUUGCUUUUACAGCGAUAAGUAGCUUCUGCCGUUAAAGUUCCCAUGUUGAUGGAGCGUUUGUUUAUAAGCAGAUUUUGAUGGUGUUUUGCUUUAAUUUUUCUAUUGUGUUGUUAUUAUUAGUAAUUGAUGCUAUUAUAUUGUUAAUCACUUAAUAUUGCUUGCAGCUCGAAUUCUACUUAUUCUGCUUACAGUGUGUCUGACUAGGGUGCGCUGCAUUUACAGCUGGAACUAUUAUGGAUUAUCUAAUUUCAGUUCCAUAAAUAGUUUCGAUACAGUAUUGUAACUCUAGAACAAGCUCGUGGAAUAGUUGAAUAUAUCGAUAGAACACAAUUAAUAAUAUAUAAUAGCAUAAUAAUUACAAAACUAAUAAUUUGUUAAAAAGCGAUUGAGUUGAAAUGCGAGUAAUACAUCAACAGGAACGGUGCAACCUUAACCACACCAAAGACUCUGUGAAAUAACGAAAGGCAACCUGAACUACUAAGUAAAACCAAGUUUAACUAACAAAAUAGCUUCAUCAACUAAAACAUAUCAAAGUUAAUGGAAACUUAAAAUCGAGCAAAUAUUCGAAAUCUUUCUGUUAAAAAUCAAAAUAGACGAAGACGAAGACGAAGCGCAACAAACAAAGAAA